rnacentral:rRNA from 1 species
UACGUAGGCAGCGAGCGUUGUCCGGAAUUACUGGGCGUAAAGAGUGUGUAGGCGGUGCUUUAAGUUCGGUGUGAAAUCUCCUGGCUUAACUGGGAGGGUGCGCCGGAAACUGGAGUGCUUGAGCGUGGGAGAGGAAAGCGGAAUUCCUGGUGUAGCGGUGAAAUGCGUAGAUAUCAGGAGGAACACCUGUGGUGUAGACGGCUUUCUGGACCAUAGCUGACGCUGAGACACGAAAGCGUGGGUAGCAAACAGG